rnacentral:rRNA from 1 species
CAGCAGCCGCGGUAAUACGGAGGAUCCGAGCGUUAUCCGGAUUUAUUGGGUUUAAAGGGAGCGUAGGUGGACUGGUAAGUCAGUUGUGAAAGUUUGCGGCUCAACCGUAAAAUUGCAGUUGAUACUGUCAGUCUUGAGUACAGUAGAGGUGGGCGGAAUUCGUGGUGUAGCGGUGAAAUGCUUAGAUAUCACGAAGAACUCCGAUUGUGAAGGCAGCUCACUGGACUGCAACUGACACUGAUGCUCGAAAGUGUGGGUAUCAAACAGGAUUAGAUACCCUGGUAGUCCACACAGUAAACGAUGAAUACUCGCUGUUUGCGAUAUACAGUAAGCGGCCAAGCGAAAGCGUUAAGUAUUCCACCUGGGGAGUACGCCGGCAACGGUGAAACUCAAAGGAAUUGACGGGGGCCCGCACAAGCGGAGGAACAUGUGGUUUAAUUCGAUGAUACGCGAGGAACCUUACCCGGGCUUAAAUUGCAGUGGAAUGAUGUGGAAACAUGUCAGUGAGCAAUCACCGCUGUGAAGGUGCUGCAUGGUUGUCGUCAGCUCGUGCCGUGAGGUGUCGGCUUAAGUGCCAUAACGAGCGCAACCCUUAUCUUCAGUUACUAACAGGUCAUGCUGAGGACUCUGGAGAGACUGCCGUCGUAAGAUGUGAGGAAGGUGGGGAUGACGUCAAAUCAGCACGGCCCUUACGUCCGGGGCUACACACGUGUUACAAUGGGGGGUACAGAAGGCAGCUAGCGGGUGACCGUAUGCUAAUCCCAAAAUCCUCUCUCAGUUCGGAUCGAAGUCUGCAACCCGACUUCGUGAAGCUGGAUUCGCUAGUAAUCGCGCAUCAGCCACGGCGCGGUGAAUACGUUCCCGGGCCUUGUACACACCGCCCGUCAAGCCAUGGGAGCCGGGGGUACCUGAAGUACGUAACCGCAAGGAUCGUCCUAGGGUAAAACUGGUGACUGGGGCUAAGUCGUAACAAGGUAGCCGU